rnacentral:lncRNA from 1 species
AUUCUGUGCAGUCACACUUUACAGUAAUGUGGUUUUCCAUAAGUCAUUGCACAGCUUGUGGAAAUAUGUAACAUUUCUGUGGUGCAGCAGGGUGGGAGGCAGAAAAUCUGGAUCUUAUUACCAGUUUGGCCAUGGUCUUCCUAUGUGAACACGGGUAAGUAAUUUAUUUCUGC